GAAGAGGGAAGAUGGAGACAAUGAGGCUUUCUCUACCCCUGGCUGGAGAAUGUGGGAUGAGCAGCAGCGGCUGCAGGAUCUCAUGGCCACCACCCUGCCAAGGGGAUGGGCAGAGUGGGCACAUGCCAAGGGCAGGCUGGCUGGGGGCUUCCACUACCUUCCACAGCAAGGUGAUGCCCUUGCCCCUCUGCCUAUCCUGCCAUCUCAUGGAAGAGGUAUCCAGAAGGAAGCCAAAAGCUGUUCCAGAUGGCAGAAAGGCUCAGCAGAGCAGAACAACUGUUCCACAGUCCUUAUCUUUCUGCAAACCAAAUCCAUCUUCCUUGGAAAAAAGCAAUUCAAGCUCCUCAGUCUUCCUUGGAGCUGGUGAGCAGCAAGAGCAAAGUGCCAGCAUUGGCUCCCUGGGGAGGGGAACUGCCAUCCUGCAAAGUGCUUCUAUAUUGGUCUCUGCCAUGAGCAGGUCUAAAUUGGAAGUGAUGGCAGCAACAAGCGCCAGGAUGCCGAGAUGGACUCUGGGGCUGCACAAAGUGGUUUCAGGGGCUGGCUGGGCUUGGCCCGGGGGAUGCCUGCCAGCACAGGACACUGCAGUUCUAAUCCCACUAAAAGCUAGGUGGAAAUGUC